AAAUGAGUCACACACACCAAUAGAAAAGGCCCUGAAACUUUCAACUCAGUGGCUCCUUUCUGCUAAAAGCAGCUCUAAAAGCAUGCGGACUUUCUUGAAAAUUGAGUUCUAGUUUCUCAUCAAAUGGAAAAAGAACUUUUCCUUAGGGGCAUCUCUCACCACCUAUGUCCAUAUGACGUAUGUGAAGUCGUGAUGUCUUGGAGGUGGCUGAGGGGCUUUCAGGUUCAUUUGGUUGGUGACAGAAUGCUGCCAGGUGAGAGCAAGGCUGCAGAGAGCAGAGCUUUCCAAAUUGCUGCAUUUUCUACAACUCUAAGGUGAGGAAACUGAGGCACGGAGAGAUAAGUGACUUGUGACUUGCCCAACAUCACAGAGCUGGUUUCCAUGCAAGAUCAUGGGCUUCACAAAAGCAAGCCAGGGGAGGACUUUGGGUCCCUGGAAGUCCUUGGGAAUGAAAAGUGUGUCGCUGGACGCCAGGGACGGGAAAUAAAAAAUGAAGGGUCUACUGUUUACUUGUCUCUUAUGCCCUCUGGUUCGUGACCAACCCUCCUUUGAGGGUCCCACACAAUUUAGAAGACUACACGUUCGAUUU
rnacentral:lncRNA from 10 species